GACGAACCUUGCAAACGUUAUUCGGAAUCACUGGGCUUAAAGGGUGCGUAGGCUGUGCAGAAAGUUGGGUGUGAAAUACCUCGGCUUAACCGAGGAAUUGCGCCCAAAACUAUUGUGCUCGAGGAAGAUAGAGGUGAGCGGAACUUAGGGUGGAGCGGUGAAAUGCGUUGAUAUCCUAAGGAACACCGGUGGCGAAAGCGGCUCACUGGAUCUUAUCUGACGCUGAGGCACGAAAGCCAGGGUAGCAAACGGG
rnacentral:rRNA from 1 species